rfam:Stegodyphus mimosarum contig57936, whole genome shotgun sequence.
GCCUUCGUUGUGUAGUGGUCAGCACGUUCGACGGAUAACCGAGAGGUGCGUGGUUCGAUUCCCAUCGAAGGCG